rnacentral:rRNA from 1 species
CUAGUAAUCGCGGAUCAGCACGCCGCGGUGAAUACGUUCCCGGGCCCUUGUACACACCGCCCGUCACACCAUGGAAGUCUGCAAUGCCCGAAGCCGGUGGCCUAACCACUUAUGUGGAAGGAGCCGUCUAAGGCAGGGCAGAUGACUGGGGUGAAGUCGUAACAAGGUAGC